CGUUGAUUACGUCCCUGCCCUUUGUACACACCGCCCGUCGCUACUACCGAUUGAAUGGCCCAGUGAGGCAUUCCGACUGGCCCGAGGAUGUUGGCAACGACAACCUUAGGCUGGGAAGUUUGUCAAACUUGGUCAUUUAGAGGAAGUAAAAGUCGUAACAAGG
rnacentral:rRNA from 1 species